AACCCAUAUUAACAACAUUUUCACAGGAGUUCCUUGAACCUUUCCCAUGUCUCGAAUAGAGACUCCAUUUCCAUUUGUACAAAGGACGAGAUCUCAUUCCUAAGCUU